GUGGUUCCCCAAUGCCCCCACCCUUCCGUGGCCCCAGCCAGUGGGGCUCAGCUCUGGCCACCCUGACAUGAAGGGGAAGGUCCAGCAGCCAAACCCCAGGGGCUCUGAAGGAAUCGGCCUGUGGGUAGGAGAUGCCGGGUACCUGCUUUUGUUUCUUUUUAAAUUUCCCCCAGGUGGUUCUGUUGUGCUACCAGGAUGCCAAAUCCCCCAGGCCCCUUAACCUUUGUAGGAGCACACGCUCAAAAGCAAUCGCUGCAGUCAGCCUGCACACGGCUCCCCCACAGAGGCCCAAACACACCUGGCCACACACUGCACACGUGCUCACAGCACCCCACACUCACACCCACGCCGGGACCUGGCUCCCUGAGGACCUGGAUGCACAAGGAGGGACAUGCGCGUGACCUUCAAGCUGAGGGUGGGAUCGCACUGCUCGAACAUGAAGUCCCAGAUAUCCAGGGUUCCGUCCAUCCUGGUGGUAAAGAAAACGGUCGGCCUCACGGGGCUCCAGGCAGCAUCAGUGAGGAGGAGGACAAGGGAGACCCAGGUUCUACGACACAGGUCCACCAAGUCCCUCUAGGAACCAGCCCUGCGAAAGGCCUAUGGGUGCUGUGCUCGACACCCUGCUCCUUUCACACAGCCCUGGCAGCCUGCAGGACCUGAAGACAUUGGGAAGGCUCCUAAAGCCUGUAAAGGGCUUCACAUCUACUGGGAACCCCCUACUUGCUAUGAGGCCUGGAACAAUGCACUGCCCUUGUCAGCCAGCGUUCCCACCCCUGUAGAAUGAGGACAUCGAACCAGGUUUCUGCUCCCAAAGCAAGGACUGGCUGAGUCACAAGCCUGGGGUUGCUCCUUAGCAAACCCAUUCCUGGGCUAAGCCCAAGAUUCUAUGUUAGUACCCCCAGGGUUGGGGCUGAGAAUCUGGAUUUUAAAAAAAUCACUCCUCCACCAGGCACGGUGGCUCAUGCCUGUAAUCCCAGCCCUUCGGGAGGCUGAGGCAGGCGAAUCACCUGAGGUCAGGAGUUUGAGACCAGCCUGGCCAACAUGGGGAAACUCUGUCUAUACUAAAAAUACAAAAAUUAGCUGGGUGUGCUGGCGUGCGCCUGUAAUCCCAGCUACUCAGGAGGAUAAGGCAGGAGAAUCGCAUGAACUCGGGAGGUGGAGGUUGCAGUGAGCCGAGAUCUCGCCAUUGCACUUCAGCCUGGGUGACAGAGUAAGACUCCAUCUCAAAAGCAUUUUAACAAACAAACAAAAACUCCUCCCAAGAUAUUCUGAUGCAACCAGAUUUGGGAAGCACUGGAACCAAAGAUGCUCAUUAGGGUUGCUGGUGGCUUUGACGUUGCAGGAGUCUGUGGUUCUGUGGGCAGGAAAGGAACCCCAGGAUGUUUUUUUUAGCAAGAGAAAAAAGUAAUUAUUUAUACAUGCAAUGCACAAUACACAUGGCAGUGCUCGGUGGUGAAUGACUCAAGGGGGUGGUUAGAAUUCGGGCUUAUUACCUAAUUUAGGAGAUGAAGGGGAGGAGGAGAAAGGGCACUUUUAGACAAGGUAAAUGGGCCCUAAGAAGAAUGGAGGGGGAUGUGAUAGUCUAAGCUUCUCUGGUCUAACCAUUGUGCUCAUAGCUCUGUCUCAAGCUCCCUGUCUGUUGCUCUCCUCAGAGGAGUGGCACUGAGCAAGACAGGCUAUGCCUCACUGCUGAAUUGUGCCAAGGCACCCGCAUUUCCCAGCCAAGCUUCCUUGGUUCACACCCAAUCUCGGCUCCUCACUAGCUGGGAGAGCAGGAGCAAGUGGCUUGGCCUUUCUGUAGCCCAGUUCCCUAACAUGAAAAAUGAGAUGAAGAGAAGAGCAAUGCUGCCUCCUCCUGGGGAUAGUUUGAGGAUUAUGAAAAUUAAGCCAGCCAGACGCGGUGGCUCACACCUGUAAUCCCAACGCUUUGGGAGGCCGAGGUGGGCAGAUCACCUGAGGUCAGGAGUUCAAGACCAGCCUGGCCAACGUGGCAAAAUCCCAUCUCUACUAAAAAUACAAAAAUUAGUUGGGCAUGGUGGCAGGUGCUUGUAGUCCCAGCUACUCAGGAGGCUGAGGCAGGAGAGUCUCUUGAACCUGGGAGGUGGAGGCUGCAGUGAGCCGAGAUCACGCCACUGCACUCAGUCUGGGGAACUAAGCGAGACUGUCUCAAAAAAAAAAAAAAAAAAAAAAGGAAAUAAAAUUAAGCCAUGGCCAUUAUUUUUAGUAACUGAGUGUUUGAAGCUUAUCACUUUGUGGAGUGGCUGGAGCAAGUCACUUGCUAACACGAGCUCGGGUGUUUGUGGAAAGGUUUUUCUCCAUUUUACAUAUGGAGGCUCGGGACUCUCCGGGGCCCAGCUGGGCUCCCUCCAUCCCCUCCUGUCUCCUGCAUCCCCUCCUGUCCCCAGCAUCGCCUCUUACUUGGUCCACAUGAUGGACGAUUCCCGGCUGUCUUCAGACCAAAUGCGGGCUGUCCAGUCGCCAACCGUCAGGAAGUUCUUCGGGUAGAAGGGGUUUCUCUGGAGGGCGUAGAUGGGGCCAUGAUGGCCCGGGAAGGUGCACACAAUCUUUUCAGCUGACGUCUUGGCCUUGCGGUUGCAGGAGAUGACGAUGCCCUGCUCGGUCCCCACCAUGAACUUGGUGGGCUGUGGAAGGAGUGACACAGGAGGGGAAGACUCCACGAACCAUCAAUUCUGGGAUUAGCGGGCAUGGACAGGAGCUUGCUUGGGGGGUCUGCAGGCGCUAGAAAGGCCCUCAGAUCAAGCCUUGGCAAGGGCUGUGGCCCCUCCUGGAGAGCAGUCCCCACUCUUCCCGGGCUCCUCAGACCCCAUCUUUUUGGAAGCUGCUCAAGGAGCCUGUGCUGAAUGAAGCCCUCCCUGGCUCCUCCAGUCCUGGAGGGUUGUCAGGUCACUAGCCCCCUCUGCAGAGCACCACUGUGUCCUCGAUGCAUUUGGCCAUAAAGAUCCUGAAUGUUUGUUUACAGAGAGAGUAAAGAAGACCCAGGGAGGGGAUGCAGGGUGGCCCACCCAGAUCACUCAUGGGAUGGGCAGAGCCUUCCCUGGCAAGACAGUGACAUUUGUCAUAGCAUUGUCCAGGCUGGUGUCCCUGAGAACUCAGAGCAGGUGACCAACCAGCACUCAGGAAGUUACCUGGCAGUCGGUGAUGUAACUCGUCCCCCUACCACUGGUGGGUGAGCUCUUUGAGGGGCACGAGCUUGUCUGACAUGGGUCCAUCGCCCACGAACUGAGCUUUAGUAGUUAUUCACUUCACUGCGGACUGAAUGCACAAAGGCUGGUCUCCUGACUCCUGGUCCAGUGCUCCCCUCGCGUCUCUGAGCAUGACCCCCUCCAUCACGCAAUGCCCUUCCUUGUUUACUGUUCUGUCUUAACUUCUGGGCUAGACUGAACAACCUCCACCAGCAGGGCCUGAGCCUACAAUGGUGCUGUGUCCUCAGCAUUCCAAAUGGAAAGAACAGCUGAGUGAGGUAGGGGAGGGGCACACUGAGGGGAGGGCCUUUGUCAACGGGCUCAGAUGUCCUCUGCAGCUGGUGAACCUGCCCCUAUAGAACUCCCAGGUUUUAGGCAGAGGUUGCAGUGAGCCGAGAUCAUGCCACUGCACUCCAGCCUGGCCUACAGAGCAAGGCCCUACCUCAAAAAAAAAAAAAAAAAAAAAAAAAAGAAAAAAGAAAAAGAAAAAAGAAAAGAAAAGAAAAAAGAACUCCUAGUUUAUUUAUUUAUUUCUCGAGACAGGUUCUGGCUCCAUUGCCCAGGCUGGAGUGCAGCAGUGCGAUCUCAGCUCACUGCAUCCUUGACCUUCUGGGCUCAAGCAGUACUCCCACCUCAGCCUCCCACGUAGGGACCACAAGCACACACCACCAGGGUCAGCUAAUUUUUGUAUUUUUGUAGAGAUGGAGUCUCCCUAUGUUGUCCAGACUGGUCUCAAACUCCUAAGCUCAAGUGAUCUGCACACAUCGGCUUCCCAAAGUGCUGGGAUUACAGACCUGAGCCACUGCACCUGGCCCCCCAGCUUUUUUAUUUUUAUUUUUUUAAAAAACAUAUUGUUUUAUUAUGCAGUUUUCUUCUACCAGAAAAUUACUAAAAUGAUAAAUAUAAAAUCUCUAGAAAAUACCCAGAACAUGGCCAGGUGUGGUGGUUGAGGCACGAGAAUCACUUGAACCUGGGAGGCAGAGGUUGCAGCGAGCCAAGAUCAUGUCACUGCACUCCAGGCUGGUCUUGAACUGCUGGGCUCAAGUGAUCCUGCCACCUCAGCCUCCCAAAGUGCUGGGAUUACAGGUGUGAGCCACGGCGCCUUGCCUCACAUUGAUAUUUUUCUUCUUUUUCUUUCCUUCCUUCCUUCCUUCCUUCCUUCCUUCCUUCCUUCCUUCCUUCCUUCCUUCCUUCUUUCCUUCCUUCUUUCCUUUUCUUUCCCUCUCUCUCCCUCUCUUUCUUUCUUUCUUUCUUGGUAAAGACUGGGCGGGCGGUGGGGGGGGUCUCAUUAUGUACCCAGGCUGGUCUUAAAUUCUUGGCCUCCCAAAGUGCUGGGAUUACAGGCGUGAGCCACCCUGCCCGACCUGAACUUUGAUAUUUCUUUGUCAUUCUCAGUGACUGAACACCGAGACCAUGCUUGUGCUCUGGUUUUCCAAGGAGCCUGCUUUGACCUCAUUUUCCUCUCCAGUACCUCUUCCUUCCCCAGAGGAAGGCAGGUGACCAGCCUAGGGACCCCGUGCCAGGCAGGGCCAGGACCUGGGUUGGAGUCCAGGCCUCCCGAUGUUGGUCCUGGGCGUGACCUUCCCCACAAAACAGGGCUUUUCUGGAAUUGUUCUGUCAAAAGAUUGCCCUCUGUGUUCAGCUGGGCCACUGGCCAAAAGAUGACUUGGUGCCAUGAUGACUAUGGUGUCCUUCUUCGAGAAGCUCUGCUGCCCCCUGCUGGAAAGUUGUUGUAAAGGCCACACACGUCUAGGAUGGCUGCAGUGAGGGUGGCCUCCCUGGGCUGGUGCUGGGUUCCACGAGCACCUGAUAUCCUAGCAAUGGCCUGUCUUUAGCCCUGGCUGCCCUGUCAAUGCAAGUCGGGGAAGGGACAGCAAGGGACACUCACCAAAGUAGAUUCGAACUCCAGGGAGAUGGCCCCCAAGGCAUUUUCCAACUGUUCCUUCUUGGUGAUGUCCAAGAUCACAACUUCAGUGGGCUCGCUCAUCUUUCGGAUGUCCCACCACAUGACCUGGUGGGAGGAGGGGCGACAGUGAGACUUCGAGGCCCUGUAUUUCCCCUGGCUUUUGCCUUCUCCGCCCUCACCCCACCGUCCUGGGGUCAGCCACUGGGCCACAAAGGAUGGAGCUCCCGGCAAUUCGUGGGAGCAAAUACACUUUGAGGAUUGCUGUUCUGUCCACAGUUCCCACACCUGGCUGAUCAUCAGAGUCGCCGGCAAGCUUCAUACAACCCAGAUGCUGAGGCCUCGCCCUCGACCUACUGAAUCAAAACCUCCAGGUGCAAGGCCAAGAAUCGGUAUAUGCCAAGACUCCCCACAAUAAGGCAAUAUCCGGCAAUGUUAAAAAUGCAUGUGUGCUCCGACCUAGAAGUCCCACUGCCAGCAAUGUCUGCUGUAGAUAUAUCCCCGCAUGUGUGCAACAAUCUGUGUAUAAAGA
rnacentral:lncRNA from 1 species